GCUCCAGUAGCUCAGUGGUAGAGCGUCCGGCCUUUGUGCGGAAGAUCAUAUAGGUUCAACUCCUGUUGGGAGAA